ensembl:lncRNA
GCACUCAGUCGUGCCAAACCCUGGAAGACCACACGGCCAAGCCAAAACCAUCAGCAGACAGUUGCAUUUAUUUGAACAAACUGUGAAAGACCGGAACCUGGCUUCACAUCCAGACCUGCUGCUCGGAGCGGCUUCCGUCUUCAAGCUACUGAAUGGAUGGAGGGGAAGGACAUUUUCAGGAAUAGAAACAGAACUGCUGUUCAAGUAGGGAGGAGAGAUGUGCACAGCUGAUCUUUAUUCAUGGCUUCCUUUGAUGACAGCAACAGGCUUGGCAGCGAAUACCAUUGUGACGAUCCAUUAUAGGAUUUGAGCACUUCACUUACAAGAAGAUGAAAACGGACAGGAGAGGAUGAAAGGAUGAAGCGGCAGGCAGCGGGGAGGAAGAGAGAGCUGCUCAGGUAUCUUAGCCUGGGGACACGCAGGAAGACUUUAAAAAAAUCACACAAUUUAAAAAAAAAAAAAAAAAAGAAUCGCAGCACACAUCUACUGCAUGCAUCACAGCCUCACAAUAGAUCUUUGAAAAAAAACAGACUAUCAUCCUUCCACUCACAUCAAAUCUUUUAUUCUCACUGAAUCUCGCUCAGUUUGCUCUCAGAUCCAUCCAAGCUAAAACACUGUCUGUUGAAACUGCUAAUAGAGAUGUACCUUGCAAUGCUUCCUAGUUCUAUAAUAUUGUGUUUUCCUUAUUUCCAUGGACAGCCGGCCAAGCUAGACUGUCA